CAGCAAGACCCGAAAAGCUGCCGGGCUGCGCAGCGGGCCGCUGGCGGGCGGGUCGUCCGCCGUUGUAAAUCGCUGCGGAGCGGCGUCGGCGUGGUCAGCAGAGCGGUUUGGUCAGGCCGUGGUCUGGAGAGGCAGCUCCUCCCUUAAAAUGAAGAGCAAGUUGGAGUAAGUUUACGCUCGUUACAUAACGUGUCCAGAUCCCUCUGACCUACGGGACCGGCCGCCUAUUCGAUCUCGUAGGGGGGCGUGUGCGUGGGUGCGUGCACUCACCCACACCAAAACGUUACCUGUGUGAGAGGAGACUGCGGGAAUGACAGGGGAGGGAACGCAGUUUCUCAC
rnacentral:lncRNA from 1 species